AUGCUUGCUUUGGCAUCACAUACACUAAAAUUAGAAAGAUAUAGAGAUUAACAUGCUCUGGUGCAAGGACAACAUGCAAACACAUGAAAUGUUCCAUGUUUUU
ensembl:snRNA U6 U6 spliceosomal RNA